UUGACCAUAAACCACUGGGUAAUUCUAGUGAUUAGAGAGUGACACAGGCUGUGGGUACGCGGUGCCUCACAACGCUAGGGACCCAGGCUCGAUUCCACCCUGAGGCAAAUGUGUGGAUGUUUCCGCCGGCUGCUCUGGUUUCCUCCCACGGUCCAUAGAUAUGCAGAAUAUGAAUACCAAUAACCGGACUGAAGUUUAUGAAAAUCAGCAGAAACAGAUCCCAAUGAACAAGGUGGAGUCUUGGAUGAGAUUAACAGCAAAAUUCAGCCACUGUAGUUAAUAGUGAACUGGCUAGUGUUUCUGCGGGUGAAAUGGCUUCUCUCACUUGGAGCAAUGAAUGGCCUGGCAACGCUGGCAUCUACCUGACAAUGUGGAAAAUUGCCCAGCUAUGUCCUGUACACAAAAAGCAGGUCAAAUCCAACCCGCCCCAUCUCGAUCAUCAGUAAAGUGAUGGAAGGUGUCAUCAACAGUGCUACUGAGCAGCAAACACUCAGCAAUAACCUGCGAAGUGACACCCAGUUUGGGUUGGCCACUGAGCUCCUGCCCUCAUAUAACCUUGGUUCAAACAUGGGCGAAAGAGUUGAAUUCCAGACGUGAGAUGAGAGUGACAGCCCAAUUUGAACACUGUGUUGAAUGGCCUUCCUUUGUGUGCUAACAAUUAUAUGACGACAAAGUGC